rnacentral:rRNA from 1 species
UGUUGCAGUUAAAAGCUCGUAGUUGGAUCUAGGGACGCGCAUUUCAAGCGCCCGUGUCGUCGGGUCAAACCGGCGACUGCGUUGGCGUUGCGGGCUCGGUCCGUCGGUGGACCCUCGUGGUCUUAAUCGGCGUGUCAACCGGCCCGCCCGUCCCCUCCUUCUGGAUUCCCGUUCCUGCUAUUGAGUUAGUGGGGACGUCACAGGGGGCUCAUCGUCGUCAUGCAAAUGGCGGCGGUGGGUCCCUGGGGCCCAGAUCGUUUACCGUGAAAAAAUUAGAGUGUUCAAAGCAGGCAGAUCCAAUUUUCUGCCACCGAAUACAUUAGCAUGGGAUAAUGGAAUAGGACCCUGUCCUCCUAUUUUCAGUUGGUUUUGGCAGCGCGAGGACUAGGGUAAUGAUUAAUAGGGAUAGUUGGGGGCAUUAAUAUUUAAUUGUCAGAGGUGAAAUUCUUGGAUUUAUGAAAGAUUAACUUCUGCGAAAGCAUCUGCCAAGGAUGUUUUCAUUAAUCAAGAACGAAAGUUAGGGGAUCGAAGACGAUCAGAUACCGUCGUAGUCUUAACCAUAAACGAUGCCGACCAGCGAUUAGGAGACGUUGAAUACAAAACACCACCAUCGGCGCGGUCGUCCUUGGCGUCUGUCCCUUUCAACGGGGGCAGGCGCGAGGGCGGUUUAGCCCGGUGGCACCGGUGAAUGACUCCCCUAGCAGCUUGUGAGAAAUCAUAAGUCUUUGGGUUCCGGGGGGAGUAUGGUCGCAAGGCUGAAACUUAAAGGAAUUGACGGAAGGGCAC